CCUGUUGAACUCAAUGUUCCGGGCGGCGAUAUUCAGCGGUGGUCGACCCGAACGGGCCGGCUGCCGUGCACUUAUCAGACCGCAGUAACGGACAUCGCGAUCCAUUACAAUGGUUACUCCGGCAAUGGCCCCUGGCUCGUGGUGGGCGGCUUUCUAGUAGGGGCGGCACGGCGGCUUCCCUGAGCGAUAGUCUCCGCGACCUUCAUCCGUGAGGGGCGCAGGGCCCGACCGAGUCCGGUGUGCCGCUGGAAUAGUGAUGGAUUGGUAUGAGCGGGGUUCGAGCGUUGUGAUCUGCAGCCGGAGAUCCGAUAAUACACUCGCCCCCGAUCGGUGAUGACGCUUUAUGCAUUGAGGAACCUACGGG
rnacentral:rRNA from 3 species